AGGCACUGCCUUGGAACCUCCACAGGGCCUGGCCCAUGGCCUCUGGGGGCUGGUGGCAGUGCCAGAGCAAACCUAGCUUGUUCAGAUCCGGGGCUGCUUAGAGGCCACCUAAGCAAUCCCUUUGGCGGCGAGUGACAUUC
ensembl:snoRNA